CUGGCGGCGUGCUUAACACAUGCAAGUCGAACGAGGAUAUGCCAGAGGAGAGCUUCGGCAGGAAUCAGGCAGUAUUCGAGUGGCGGACGGGUGAGUAACGCGUGAGCAACCUGUCCCAGACAGGGGGAUAACACUUGGAAACAGGUGCUAAUACCGCAUAAGACCACGGUAUCACAUGGUAGUGGGGUAAAAGGAGCAAUCCGGUUUGGGGUGGGCUCGGCGUCCGAUUAGAUAGUUGGUGAGGUAACGGCCCACCAAGUCGACGAUCGGUAGCCGACCUGAGAGGGUGAUCGGCCACAUUGGAACUGAGAGACGGUCCAAACUCCUACGGGAGGCAGCAGUGGGGAAUAUUGCACAAUGGGCGCAAGCCUGAUGCAGCAAACCGCCGCGUGCGGGAAGACGGUCUUCGGAUUGUAAACCGCUGUCCUCUGUGACGAUAAUGACGGUAGCAGAGGAGGAAGCCACGGCUAACUACGUGCCAGCAGCUGC
rnacentral:rRNA from 1 species